UGGGGGAUAUUGCACAAUGGGCGAAAGCCUGAUGCAGCGACGCCGCGUGGGGGAUGAAGGCUUUCGGGUUGUAAACCUCUUUCGCUAUCGAACAAGGCCCGCUUAGGGUGGGUUGAGGGUAGGUGGAGAAGAAGCGCCGGCUAACUACGUGCCAGCAGCCGCGGUAAUACGUAGGGCGCGAGCGUUGUCCGGAAUUAUUGGGCGUAAAGGGCUUGUAGGCGGCUUGUUGCGCCUGCUGUGAAAACGCGGGGCUUAACUUCGCGCGUGCAGUGGGUACGGGCAGGCUUGAGUGUGGUGGGGGUGACUGGAAUUCCAGGUGUAGCGGUGGAAUGCGCAGAUAUCUGGGGGAACACCGAUGGCGAAGGCAGGUCACUGGGCCAUUACUGACGCUGAGGAGCGAAAGCAUGGGUAGCGAACAGG
rnacentral:rRNA from 1 species